CCCCUUUUACCCUACCUCACGUUGCUCCAGUUCCACGAUCUUCUGUGCUCAUGCAGGCUAUACUGCGAGCAGCAGGAAGGGGUAGUGGCUGGCCUGCUCUCAAUUCGCCAGACACUCUGCACACGGUAGGGCCGCCACCUCUCAGCUGCCGGAUAUGCAGGGCCGUCUUUAACGCUGGACAAAAGGGGCAGCUGCCUCUUGAGCCCCACUGCCCACAAUAAUAUGCAAAAAAAAUUUUUUGCCUCCUGAGUCCUUCACUAUGCGAGCAGCAUCGCUGCACUGGUAUUCACGCUGAACACUCCUUAUAGAAAUGCAUUGAUUCAACGCAUCUCUAUGAGGAGGUGCAGUGCAGUGUUUUGCCACGCAUGCACAAUAGCCUCCCAAUGCUUCUCUAUGGGAAAGCAGUGGGUUGGCUGAUAUAUACUCACACACUCCACAUUUAUGUGUGUGUGUUGUGGUGGAGGGCGUGAUUGCAUGCUAGGAAGUGGGAAGGUGGGAUCCUGGGGGUCCAAGUAAAUUCUUGCCCAGGGUCCAAUCAAUAUUAAAGACGGCGGAUAUGGCAUCAAACACUGUAUCUGGUGGCUGGCGUAGACAAAGGCUUUGAGCUCUUGCGGCCGCGGCUGGUCAUAGAAGCAUGCGAUCAGUCACGGGCCGCGGCUGAUCAUAGCCACAGCUCGCAGAGGCCCCAGGGUAGGCGGCCUACCAGGAAAUUUCCCGGUAGACCAGUCCAGCCUUGCUUCUUCUAACACAUGCCAGUUUCUCAUGCAUCAUCACUCUGAAACCUUGUUCUCUCCCUUUGACAUUACUACCUCCACCUCUCUAUCCUAUGGGGCCUUCUGCUAACCCACUCUCUCAGGCUGUGGGACUAUAACUAUAGGGGUGUUGGAUUUUUGCUUUCCAUUUAUUCAUCCUUUUAUAUCUUUCCAGUUAAUCCUUCCC